AUGAGCAGAGACGUCGACGAAGGAAGCGUUUCGGCGGCGACAGCAGGAGCAGGAGGAGGAGGGGAAGUGGGUGGCGAGGCGGCGGCCGGCGUCAGCGACGAGGCGGCAGUCGACUCGCAUGAGAACGACCUGGUGAUGCCGGGAUUCCGGUUCCACCCGACGGAGGAGGAGCUGAUCGAGUUCUACCUCCGGCGCAAGGUGGAGGGCCGGCGCUUCAACGUCGAGCUCAUCACCUUCCUCGACCUCUACCGCUUCGACCCAUGGGAGCUCCCCGCAAUGGCGGUGAUUGGGGAGAAGGAGUGGUUCUUCUACGUGCCCCGGGACCGCAAGUACCGGAACGGCGACCGGCCGAACCGGGUGACGGCGUCGGGGUACUGGAAGGCGACGGGGGCCGACAGGAUGAUCCGCGGCGAGAACAGCCGGCCCAUCGGCCUCAAGAAGACGCUCGUCUUCUACUCCGGCAAGGCCCCCAAGGGCGUCCGCAGCAGCUGGAUCAUGAACGAGUACCGCCUCCCGCCGCCCACCACCGACGCCGAUCUCUUCUACAAGUCCGAGAUCUCGCUCUGCCGCGUGUACAAGCGCUCCGGCAUCGACGACGGCCACGGGCGGCCCUCCUCCAGCAACGUCCAAGCGUCGUCCUCGGCGAGGCCGGGCACCUCACGCACCAUUAUUCCGCCGGCUGGCCAGCAGGUGUCAUCACCGUUGUCCACGCCGAUGUCACCGACGCAGCAGCCCAGCUUCCACGGCAUACUCGGCCAGGGCGAGUGCUCGCCGGCGCCGCUGCCAGCCAUCAUGGACCAGGCCACCGCGCAGCUGCAUCAGCCUCCGCCUCCUCCUCCUCCGAGGCCGAGCGCCUUUGCGUCGGCGAUGAGCUCAACGAUGUCGGUUGCGCCGGCCGCGAGGAGCUGCACGUACUCGCUCAUGGCCCUGGCAGACGCACCCAUGAUGGGCAGCAGUUCCACGCCGGGGGACGAGCUGAGCCGGCUGGUGGGCCACAGCCAGGCCUACCCUAACCACCCGGCCGUCGGCAGCCACUUCCUCCCCUCACCAUCGUCGUCGCAAAUUCCGCCCCACGGAGAGAUGCCGGUGUCGCCGGCCGACAAGCUUUGGGAUUGGAUCCACCCUGACACCACAGGCAGCAGGGACUACGGCAGUUCUAGUUUUAAAUGA
rnacentral:rRNA from 1 species